rnacentral:rRNA from 1 species
CCUACGGGCGGCAGCAGUGAGGAAUAUUGGUCAAUGGACGAGAGUCUGAACCAGCCAAGUAGCGUGAAGGAUGACUGCCCUAUGGGUUGUAAACUUCUUUUAUAAAGGAAUAAAACGAGGCACGUGUGCCUUUUUGCAUGUACUUUAUGAAUAAGGAUCGGCUAACUCCGUGCCAGCAGCCGCGGUAAUACGGAGGAUCCGACCGUUAUCCGGAUUUGUUGGGUUUAAAGGGAGCGUAGAUGGGUUGUUAAGUCAGUUGUGAAAGUUUGCGGUGCAACCGUAAAAUUGCAAUUGAUACUGGCAGUCUUGAGUACAGUUGAGGUAGGCGGAAUUCGUAGUGUAGCGGUGAAAUGCUUAGAUAUCACGAAGAACCCCGAUUGCGAAGGCAGCUUACUAAACUGUGACUGACAUUGAUGCUCGAAAGUGUGGGUAUCAAACAGGAUUAGAUACCCGAGUAGUC